UAUAUAUUUUUUAUUUGGGGCUAUCAACCCUGGGAGGCAAGGCCGAGUCUACCCAUUUUUCAGAAGGGGAAACUGAGGCUCCAAGUGGGGCAAUGUUUUGCCCAGGAUCAAGGGGCUUAACAGGAGACUGGGCGUGGAUUCCAUCCCAGUGCGGGCGGUUCCCAGGCAAGACCUAUGAAUCAAUUAAACCGACCAAUCCAAUCAACCAAUCAGUAUUUAUUAGGGCCUACUGGGUACAGCUCCUCUUCAUGCAGCGCAGGCAAGGAAGAGAGGAGGUUGCGGUGCGCAGGCGGCUGCGGAGACCGGAGGCCGCUGCCCGAUCGCGGGAAUUUGGCGCCAGUUUUUUGUUGGUUGGGUGUUCUCGCCUGUGAUUGGGCCCCGGCCCCGCGUGGGCUCACCCGGCUGCUACUGGUCGGCCGACCUUGGCAGGACCCCGGCGGCGCAGUACUCGGCUGGCCUCCCGGGGGAUGGGCCACCAGGAGCCCCCGCUGGCCCGAGUGCGGGCGGGACGUGCGGCUUAUAUAAAAAGGUUACGUAAAGGGCUCAGCUGGCGCGAACACGUGGAGAGCCGCGGGAGCCCUGACGCCCAGUUGUCCCUCGAGAGCACCGCUGCCGUCACCCGUACAGCAACAGGCUCUGUCGCACGCCCGACCCGGGCCACGGUCUCUCGCCCGGCUAGGUACCCGAAGCAGCCGUGGCCCGGAGCGGACCACCCCCAGCUGGGGGCCUUAGAGGGGAAACGCGCUGCCCGGAAGUGGAAGGGCGCAGGCCAGGUCACAAUCCAGGGUCCCGCUCCUCCGCGUCCCGGGGCCGGACGGAGGGAUGAGGCAGGGGGGUCCCGGGCAGCGCCGUUGCUGCUCCCCCCGCCGCCCGCAGCCAUGGAAACGGGGGAGGAGGACGGCGCCCGCAGAGGUACACAAAGCCCCGAGCGGAAAAGGCGAAGCCCAGUGCCGCGGGCGCUCAGCGCGAAGCUGAGGCCGGCGGCUGUGGCCCAGGCCAUGGAUCCGGUGGCGGCCGAGGCCCCGGGCGAGGCCUACCUGGCGCGGCGGCGGCCGGAGGGCGGCGGCGGGUCGGCGCGGCCGCGCUACAGCCUUUUGGCGGAGAUCGGGCGCGGCAGCUACGGCGUGGUGUACGAGGCAGUGGCCGGGCGCAGCGGGGCCCGGGUGGCGGUCAAGAAGAUCCGCUGCGACGCCCCCGAGAACGUGGAGCUGGCGCUAGCCGAAUUCUGGGCCCUGACCAGCCUCAAGCGGCGCCACCAAAACGUCGUGCAGUUUGAGGAGUGCGUCCUGCAGCGCAACGGGCUAGCCCAGCGCAUGAGCCACGGCAACAAGAGCUCACAGCUUUACCUGCGCCUGGUGGAAACCUCGCUCAAAGGAGAAAGGAUCCUGGGUUAUGCUGAGGAGCCCUGCUAUCUCUGGUUUGUCAUGGAGUUCUGUGAAGGUGGAGACCUGAAUCAGUAUGUCCUGUCCCGGAGGCCGGACCCAGCCACCAACAAGAGCUUCAUGCUACAGCUCACGAGCGCCAUUGCCUUCCUGCACAAAAACCACAUCGUGCACAGGGACCUAAAGCCAGACAACAUCCUCAUCACAGAGCGGUCUGGCACCCCCAUCCUCAAGGUGGCAGACUUUGGACUAAGCAAGGUCUGUGCUGGGCUGGCCCCCCGAGGUAAAGAGGGCAAUCAAGACAACAAAAAUGUGAAUGUGAAUAAAUACUGGCUGUCCUCAGCCUGUGGCUCAGACUUCUACAUGGCCCCUGAAGUCUGGGAGGGACACUACACAGCCAAGGCUGACAUCUUUGCCCUGGGCAUUAUCAUCUGGGCAAUGAUAGAAAGAAUCACUUUCAUUGACUCUGAGACCAAGAAGGAGCUCCUGGGGACCUAUAUCAAACAGGGGACUGAGAUCGUCCCUGUUGGUGAGGCGCUGCUAGAAAACCCAAAGAUGGAGUUGCACAUCCCCCAGAAACGCAGGACUUCCAUGUCUGAGGGGAUCAAGCAGCUCUUGAAAGAUAUGUUAGCUGCUAACCCACAGGACCGGCCUGAUGCCUUUGAACUUGAAACCAGAAUGGACCAGGUCACAUGUGCUGCUUAAAAUUCAGGGCAAAGCAUCUUGGGUGUUUUUAAACUAGCUGUAUGAUGUUUGAUCUUUUGAAAGGAUCACUGUACCUGCUGUGCUAAAAGUAAACUGAAGGGAGCAAGUGAGGGGACAAGAUGGGAGGCUACUAUGAUAACCCAGACUGGUGCUAUGUCACUCAUCAUGUAACUUCUGGAAAACUUCACAGUACACUUGUGAGAGAAUGAAAGUGGAAAAGGCAAAUAACUAUGAAAAGUUUUGGCUUCGUGUACUGCUGAGCUACAAACCACAUUUUGAUGCCUCUUCCUGAGGAAUUUUACUGUGAAGGGGAGCUGAGAAGUAGGGAGAGACCUAGAAAGAAGGGACUUAUUCAAGGUCCCAAAUGAAGGGGCAGAACUUGUGUGUCCUGAUUCCUGACCAGCUUUCCUAUGAAACUUUUUGUCGUGGGUCAGACUCUAGCUGCAUAAAGGAAACCCAGUCGUUCCCAGUAACAGCGUGAUGAAGGAAUGGUGAAGGAACGCCUCAGCAAUCUAGGAUUGUAGAUUUCAGAGUAAUGUUUAAAUUGGGGCUAAAUGGUUUCAGUUUUUUGCAACCAUGAAUGGAAUUGCACUUUGGGUUGGAAACAUGGGAUUCCUCUGAGAGGAGUGUUGCCUCGUGGACUGUCCAGAAUCGAGUCCCACUUCUGUGCUUUACUGGUUCUGUGACCUCAGGCAAGUUAUUUUACCUCUCUGGGUUUCAUCAUCCAUAAAGUGGAGUAGAUCAUACUUAUCUGAUUGAGGUUGUUGGAGGAGUUGCAAGAGGCUGUGAAAGUGCCCCGUAGAAACAGUCUAAGUGAGAUGCUGGACGGCACAGUCUUAGAUGCACGCUUGGGCUUGAGGUGGAAGCAGUGUCUUCUGUUCCUCUGAAGAUGGUGGUCUUUAGUUGCCUUGUUUCUGAGGAUUGCCAAAUAGCUUUCUUCUUUGAAACAAAGCUAUAGUCAAGGCAACUCUGUCCAAUUGCUUGUUCCAGAAAAAUGUCUCUGUUUUUAAAGGUUACUCAGUGAGGGGUCCUAGCUCUCUCUUACUUGUCACUUUUUGAAGAUGUUUAAUAAUCCCUAAUGGUUCCUACCAUCCAUCCAAAAGCCUUACCCAAAGCAGGAAGCCAGCCAGACUGAUGUUCCAGGUACCACUGCCCACACGUUACCGGGGAGGUUGCUGUGGGAUAAGGGACUCUGCAUUCAUGGCCAAGUUUGCUGUCUAAUACACAAACCUCAGUUACCUAGGGCCUUUUGAAGCCAGGGCCUUGAAUGAUGUUUAUUUGGAGUGGGCAGCUCAGGUCUGCUGAAGGAAAUCAGAUGUUGUUGUGACCUAAGGGGUCACAGAGAAUGUUCUUUGUACCAUAUGCGAUCUUGGUAGCUGCCCAACAUCAGAAAGAAAUUGGGCCUAAUUUCUUGUUGAAGUAAUAAAUGAUAUAUUAUUCCCUGGCCUAGGGUCCAAAGAUGUGGCUCUGGGCUAACAUGUUGGGUAUCCGGUUGGCCCCUUGACCUGGGCUUCAGAUUUUGUUUCUGUUUUAUGAGAUCUGAGGUUUUUUAACAUGAGGAUUCCUAAACCCCUAGUCGAACCCCUUUGCUGGAGAUUCAGAAGCUUUUUCAGCUCAUCUCACGGGCAGCAAGCAGCACAUAUGCUUACACUGAAGCUGUAGAAGCCAAUUCAGGUCAUUCGCUUCCUUUCGGCUGGAAUUAUACCCAAAUUGUGUCACAUUAUAGGUAUCGAGUUAAUCAAAAGUAAGACUAAAAACUUAAAAAUGGGGGGGAAAUGUUUAGUUAAUGUGGUUUGUUUUAAACAACAGAGUCUUCAAAACAGAAUCUGGGGUAGCGGGGCGGGUGGUGGUAAAUUUUUAAAAGAUUUUAAGUGCGAAAUUGGGAACCCAAGACUAGAGAGGUCUCCAGGCCCCAUCUCUGAGUGUGACUUGCUGACCCAGCCAUCGGAACUAACCCAGGAACACAUAAGACAGGCCUUUCUCUCACAGGACUGCCCUCCCUGUGGGAAGGAGCAGGAUGAGACCAUGGGUGAGACCUAGCUUCUGAGAAUGUAAGACCCCCACUUGGAGCCUCACCUCCUGAGUCUAGAAGGCUAAGGCUUUGAUGGAGGGCAACAGUGCCAGAGAUGAUGAUAAUUAAUGGACAUCCCUGGGCUGGGUGCUUUAUGACCAUUAUUUCAUUUACUGCUUUUCAAGUAAGUUCCUGAAGCUCUCAGAGCUAGUAAGGGUCAAAGCCUAGAUUUCAACCCAGGCCCAAGUCCAUGGCUGUAACCAGUAUGGUGUAUUGCCUCAUGGAAUUGCCUGUAAAUCUCAAAUGUUUUCAAAAUUCAACAAACAGUUGAGCCUCACGUAUAUUGCGCGGCACUAGAUGGGGCCGGAAAUGCAUUCUGAGUUGAGUAAGGUGGGCCGGAGGAGCCUGGCAUUUAGUCGGUUUCCAGUUGGGAGGUUGUUUCUUCUACUCUGAGAAGGUUCAGAGUGUGCUGGUAAACACCUAGGUAGCCCAAAGGACAGCAAUGGAGGAAGACUUCCCGGAGAGGGUGUGACUGCCGAAGAGACCCAAGUCAGAAGUCUGAUUCUCACAGCCCAGAGGCUCAUCCCUCUUAGUGUCUGGUGGAGCCUUGAACUGCCCAAAGGGAGGAUGGGAGGAGCAGAAGAGGGAAGUGCCAGCCUCACCUUGAAGUGGAUGAUUAGGUCCUUGGAAAGAACGGAAGUUUUAGUUAGAUUUGGGGGCGGGGGUGUUGGUAUUCAGCCAGUGACUGUUAAUUCUUAGAUCCAAGCAGAACUAGAACUGCUGAGCAUCUUUUGAGUCCCUGUCUAUAACUGGAGGCCCCAGCCUUGCUUCUACCCUGUCUCACUAGACUUCACGGGGCUGUGUGAGAGCAGAGGGUUGUGGGUUUGCUGCUCUUUUCCCUGGGAAUGUAAAGCUCAGCGUUCACUGAAGACCUGGCAGUUCUAGGAACCAUUGGUGUGCAGGCCAUCCCUUGGUUCUGGGUCUGUCUACUGGUGUUUCUUGGGAGAUCCCCCAGGUGGGGAAGGCUGGCAUUUGUAAGGCCAGGUAGCUCCCUGGGCGCCAGCUUUUGCCCCCGCUGUUGCCCUCUCUGUCUGUCACUCCUGCUGUCUCAACACAAGGAAACUGAGCUGUCUGUUAUGUAAUGGGGCUGGUUGCCCACAAGGAUAAUCUGUCCCUUGAAGCUCUGCAGGACAUCAAAGCAUUCAUGAGGGGACAGGCCUGCCCCAGGGCUGUUGUUGCUCACAUUCUCCUCCUCCCUGGCAUCCUUGGCUCCUGUCAGCCUAGGCAGCAUCCCUUUGGGCAAAUCAGAAUAGCGCCUGUAAUCCUCCAGCUGUGAGCAAAGCUGCCUGACGGUUGGGGUCUUUCCAACUCCCAUUUUCUCUUACGCUAGGGACACAGAUACUCCCUCCAACAAUAACAGCUCUGGUUCUAAAAACCUGUUUUGAGGGGCCCUCUGACUUGUGCAGGGCAGAGGCCCUGCCCUUUUAUCUCCAGCCCUGAAUUAAGUACUUUUACAUAGAGUAUCUUAUUAUCACAUCAUCUGCGUAAGUGUUCUGUUAUCUGCCAUCAUUGUGCAGAUGAGGAAGCUGAGAAUCAUUUUGUCACAGUUUUCAGAGGCAGGAUUUGAAACCUGAUAGCUGACUGGAAAUUCCACUCUUCUAUCCUGCCUCCUACAGCUUCUUUGAAAGCAGCUUUUGAUGGGUUUAUAGGUGGGUUCCCCCUCCUAUUAUCUCCACACAGAGGCCCCCAGGUAUUAGUGUCGGUGCUGCCCGUGGGCAUCUUUCAGAGUCUGACAGUCUCGGCACAGCACACCGCAGCAGGGCCACCUUCUGCUCCUUCAGGUGAGAUCACCUGUGUGUUGAUUCCUCUUGUGUCACACUGAUACAGCCUCAAACAUGGGCAGGCGAGGCAAGGCUGGGAUGGUGAGGCACCCACAUAACCAAGGGCCGGGCGACAGUGGCAGAAGCCACACAAGCAGGCAGAGGUUAAAAUUCCCAAAAGGUUGGAAAGCGGGAGACCCAAAGUGCAUCCCCUUUGGGGGCAGCAGGAAAGCACUGGCACCGAGGGGGUGCUGACAGGACAGUCUAUGCACCAGGACAAGGAAGGGCUCUGAUGUGACCCAAAGGCACCCUGUUGUCUCUGUUCCCCGGGACCUGGCAGAAGCCCGUUCUGAGUGAGCUUAGCCUGGACACUUAAGGUUGAUGAGGAUCCAAAGCAAAAUGGCAGGGUUGCUGGGUUUCUCCCUGACCCAUCUUCCAGCUCAUUUAUUGACUCUUGGCCAAAGCCGAGGGCUUUCAUGAUUCGUCCCUGUUGUUGAUGUGGCUGCCUGCAGCCCUGCGUUGAAAGAUUCUGAGGCCAAGUCAGAUUUGGUGAGCAGGAGCCCUCGUAUGACAGGCGCUUGCCCAGCGGUGGUCUUGGUAGUGUAGACCCCAAUGCUGUCCUCUAGGAGCUCACAGGUUAGCUGUGGACCUAAGACAACAUUUAGUUGUAGAAAUACAGGAAGCCUGGAGAGAGUGGAGGGAAAGCUUCCUGGAGAAGGUGGUGCCUUGGGCUGGUUCUUGAAGAUAGGUUUAGGGGCACCUUGUAAGCCAGGUGGUGAGUGAGGAGGUCACAUCUCAGGGAUUGUGUGAAACUCGCCCUGGCACACUGAGGCUUUGUUGGGUACAGGACUCAGCUGGUAAGGGGAGAGGGGACUGUCGUUGUAGUGAAGUACCGUCGGAGGGGCAUUCAAGAUGAGGACCUGGAGAGAAUGCCCAGGGUUCUGUCUUGAUAAACUAGGGCAGCAACAUAUAAGCUCCCAGCCGCUCUUUUCAUUUCUACUAGUGAGUCUUCUGUGAUUUUACAAAAUCAAAGGAAAUGGAGACCUCCUCCAGCAUUUCUAGGAUUCAGAGGCAUGCAGGCCUUAAAACUGCCGGCGAAGUUUAAAAUAAAUCAAUACAGUAAAAUACUGCAGUGAAUUUCCCAACUUUAAAGGAAUUACGCUUUCAGUUACAGGUGCCAGGGGAAAGCUGUAACUCAGCCUGCAUUGUACACAGGUCAGAAUUCUGUAUUUUGUUUCUUUGUAAAAGGAAGUGAUGUCUAGGGACUCAGGAGGAGUGGAUUAGAGCCACCCAGGCACACCUUAGGGCAUAAUGAAGAAGAUGAAAAUGCUUCUAUUUUCCCAGGCUGCAUAAAGGAGCCAGAAGUAGGGCCUGGGCAGGUAAUCUUAUGAAUGGUAGGUAACCUUGGCUUUUUAUAAUUCCAAGGCCUGGCACUGGAGCAGUAGUGGAAGGCAGGUGGGCUCUGGUACAUCAUGUUGGAUUUUGGUAUUGACCAUCUGUUCCAGUGGGAAAGACACAGAUGAUGUGAGCCAAUUGACUCAUUCCGUGUUUACUUCCAUGCUUUUGUAAAAAGGAAGCCCUUAAAUGUCAUGUACAGCACCCUUUUGUUUUUUUCCUGCUUUUUUCGUACAUGUCUAAGGCAUGUCCUCCCAGUCUAGGGCAAAGCUAAGGCAUGGACUGAAAAAAGGGUAGUGCUGUCAGAUCUUGGCAGAAUACAUGGGCCUUUCCAGCCCAGCCCAGCCUUGUACCAGACAUAAGGAGAGCUGGAAGUGACAACUAAAGACUCAUUUGUUGUUAGUAACCAGAUUGCAGGCUUGGAUGUGAUGAAUGUUUGGAAGGAGUCCUUGGUUUCAUGGGACAGCGGAAAUGAGUGUGAAUGUACCACACCCGAGACCAAAGAACAGGGUGACUUUCACCUUCCAAAAAAAAAUUGCUUGGGAGUUUAGGCCAGUUGCCUAAACUGAAAUCCAGAUGGCACCACUGAGGUGAUCCAGAGAGCCUCCUCCCUCCCCGACCCUGAGCAUCUCGGGGCACCGGCACCAACCGGGUGUAGCAUGGAGAGCCUUCGGGAGCACAUCACUCCAGCCCAGUGUUUUGGAAGUCCUAUAGCAGGGGGACACCUGUCCCCAGAAGUCCAGUUUCCCACCUACUCUUAGAAUUUCGUUGAGAUGGUCAUACGAUAGUGAUGACAUAGGCAGACCCAGAUGUGCAUCUUCAGAAUCCACAGACUCAUGUUACACACCCUGGGUAAAGUUUAGAAAGACUGCUUCCAUUUUAUCAGUGGAAGGAACUGAGGGUGUCAGGAGUAAGAAGUUUUCUACUUAACAGAUCCAGAGUCUAUCCUGUGACCUUGAAGACAUCAACAUGCUAUUGCCACAUUCCUCCCUGCUCCCCCUCACCAGCUCGCACCCCCCCCAGCACACACGGUGACCACGACAAACUUCAGCACUGUUGGUUCUCAAAGUAUGGUCCCCAGACUGGCAGCAUCUCCAGGAAACUUCUUAAAAAUAACGUAUUUCUGGGCUUCCCUGGUGGCUCAGUCGUUGAGAGUCCUCCUGCCAAUGCAGGGGACACGGGUUCAUGACCUGGUCCGGGAAGAUCCCACAUGCCAC